rnacentral:rRNA from 1 species
AUUGAACGCUGGCGGCAGGCCCAACCCAUGCCAGUCGAGCGGAGAGGCGGACGGGUGAGUAAUGCCUAGGCAGAUGCCUGGUAGUGGGGGAUGACGUCCGUAAACGGGAGCUUAUACCGCAUAAUAUCAUAUGCGCCUAGGUCGGAUUAGCUAGUUGGUGGGGUAAGGGCCUACCUAGGCGACGAUCCGUAACGGGGCUGAGAGGAUGAUCAGUCACACUGGGACGGAGACACGGUCCAGAUUCCUACGGGAGGCAGCAGUGGGGAAUAUGGGACAAUGGGCGAAAGCCUGAUACAGCCAUGCCGCGUGUGUGAAGAAGGUCUUCGGAUUGUAAAGCACUUUAAGUUGGGAGGCGUUACCAGCAGAAUAAGCACCGGCUAACUUCGUGCCAGCAGCCGCGGUAAUAC